GCGCAAGCGCAAUCUCGUUCUUUCCGAGGUCCUCUGCCGCGUGCACUAAAGUUAUGGCCGGUCCUGUCCGUGGUUCACUCUCUGAAAGGCCUAGGGUUUGGGUGAUGGCACGCCAUUGCACAUGGGACGCAAGCCGCAGGUUCCAUUUCAGAAGUAAUGGCUGGAUCCCUGGAAGCAGAUGGACUCGGUGUGGUUAGAGGGCAGAGGUAGAUGAUGCUGCGUAUUGAGCCCUCCUCAGCCCACUUUGAUUGAGGUGUUGCGCGGUGAGGAAGGGCCUUCGUGACCAGUCUGCAUGGGGGAGGCUGAACCAUAGUUUCUGGGCCUUCAAGGGGUGUUGCUGCAGCCACGGGGGCAGCCCUCCUGCGCCUGGACUUCUGCCUGCGAGCAGAGGAGCUUCCACACACAGCUCGUCAGAGCAUCCGUGCUUCUGCGCUAAGUGGCAG
rnacentral:sRNA from 1 species